rnacentral:lncRNA from 10 species
UGAAGACUACUCAGGCAUUUCUGAUGCCUUUUCUUUGCUUUGAUUCAAACACAAUUUUCUGGGAUUCAUUUGCAGCUGGCCAGGGCACAAGGGACCAUGCCACAACUGCCUCAUGCUCCUCCACAGGAGAGGAUAUCGUUUUGGAAAGACAGAUAACACAUUUCCUCAUCAAAGAUGAUUGAAGAUCCAGCACAUUGACUGCAGAUGCUCUUUUCUCAUCUGCAUUUGUCAACAUUCUUCAAAACUCAUCACCAGGAUCAACUGUCUUAACUCAAUUAUCUCUGGUACUGGAGUGUGGAGUCUUUGGCAAGCAAGGGAGCAGGAUUGCAAGUGAUGGAUGUACCACUUAAAUGAUGCUUUGCAAAGCCUUCAUCAUGUUCUGGCAGAAGAGUCACAAGAGAAUAAAUGACUUUCUUUUAAAUUCCAAGAGCAGGAAGGAGGAGACAGACAGUGUGAAUGUCACAGUCCCCAUUCAAUUGAUUUCUUAGUCAUCAAUGCUAAAGAGCAAUCUCCAGAGGAAAGAGAAGCUCAAAUACACAGACCCAUGGAAGUUUGAGUUAUCUUUAACGAAAUCUAAAGAAUUUCAUUGUUUUUAUUUAUUUGGGAAGAAAAUUAUUUACACAUCAUUAAAAAAUGUAAAAAAAGAAAACUGCGAAAAGAUGGAAAAUAGAGAAGAGUAAAUAAUCAUUAUGUUUUCCACCACUCAUACAGUUUUACUUUUCAAGUUUCUCUUUCUAAUUUAAUAGAGCUGAGUUUCAGGAUUAAAGUUACAAAGUGGCGAGAAUACUCAUAAAUCAUUUAGUUAAGUUUCCCAUUAAUAAAAUCAAAUAUGUUAAAUAGUAAAUUAAUAAAUUACUAAAUAUAAUUAUAAAU